rnacentral:lncRNA from 1 species
AAUCAACGAAUCAGGAAGCACUGAGGCAGAUGGAUCUUUAGUUGAUACGCGGGGCCCAAGCCCAAUAAAUAAAGUCCACCAAAGAAGGAUAAAGAAGUCAUUUUACAUAAAGGAGGGGUGAGUUUAGCUUGAUAGGGGGUGCACCGGGAACUUUCCUAUUUUAGAAAUUGAAAUAAACGUGUACUCCAUAUAGAUUCUAGAAGCUAGCACAUUUAGCACAUGUAUUAGAGUUAGGCAACGUGAUUCAUAGUGGCUGAACACGUUUUUCAUCACAAGUCCAAGGUUGAGGAAUCUAUAUAACUCACCUUGGCUGUCCUUGUAUUCACUUUGGAAUAUAUGAGAAAUUUCUACAUUCUGAAAUUUAUCUCUACCGAGCAAAUUUAUC